rfam:Myotis brandtii contig272777, whole genome shotgun sequence.
UGGGAUGGGGGGAGGCCCCUCAGCCUGGAUUGUGAGAGGGCGCAGGUCAGGCUGAGGGACCCCACUGGGGCUGG